rnacentral:lncRNA from 1 species
UCUCUCUCUCUCUCUCUCUCUCUCUCUCUCUCUCUCUCUCUCUCUCCUUUUGCGACGACGACAGCAGUGAAUCGAUGCCGAGAUUGACGACAUCGAUGAAUUGAUGAAGAUGACAUCGGUGAAUCGACGACGAAAGCGGAGGUGAUUCGACGACAACAUCUGUGAUAGGACAACGGCGGCGGCGCCUCGAAGAGGACGACGACGGCUGAGGAAAUUUGGACGCCAAUUGGAUGCUUUUCUGGGCAAAGGUUUCAAUCAAUUUGGAUCAGAAUGGCGUUGGAGGUAUUAGCUUUGUAUUUGGAAGUGAAGAAAAGCGGAGGCAUGAGCUUGGUGGAAUUUUGUCACAUCCCAGGACCCAUUCUGCCGUAAUACGAUAUUGUCCGCUUUGAGCCCACCAGCCCUCACGGUUUUGUUUUCGGCAGCUCAGGAGCAGCUUCCCAAUAGGUCACCCAUCUUGGGAUUGCUCUAGCAUCAACAUGCUUAACCUCGGAGUACCCAUCCCCUCCGAAGCCGCUGAGCCACCAAAAUGCCUCAUGUUAGAUUGGAGGUGGGCAUGUACAUAUACAGCACAUAACCCCUCUCCGUUUGGCCGAUGUGGGAUAUUACAGAUUUGGAGUGGGUUUGUGAGAUCAAAUGAGUUCGAUUUGGUGGAUUUCAAGGGCAGAUUUUGUUAUAUGUGGUCAGAUUUGGAAAUUGCUUGUUAUCUUUAAUUAGAAUUUGAUUUGGGAUUUGAUUUGCUUGUUAUCUUUGGAAUUUGUGUGAUCUAGGAACGAAGUUGGGGGGAGUGGUGUGAGUAAUGUUGCUGGUGGUAAUGGUGGUUUUAGGAUUAGGAUUGUGGCCGGAUUAGUGUUAUUAUGCCUGGGAAUCGACAGUAGCAUCUUCGACAGUAGCAGCAUGCUAGCAUCGACAGUAGCAGCGCGUUAACAUCAUAGAGUCGACAAUAGCAGUGUGCUAGCAUAAGAGUUGGCAGUAGCAGUGUGCUAGCAUAAGAGUUGGCAGUAGCAGCGCG